GUGUCCGUACCGAGAACCGACACAGGUGUCCAUGGCGGCGAAAGCCAAGGCCUGUCGGGAGCAACCAACGUUAGGGAAUUCGGCAAGUUAGUCCCGUACCUUCGGAAGAAGGGAUGCCUGCUCCGGAACGGAGCAGGUCGCAGUGACUCGGAAGCUCGGACUGUCUAGUAACAACAUAGGUGACCGCAAAUCCGCAAGGACUCGUACGGUCACUGAAUCCUGCCCAGUGCAGGUAUCUGAACACCUCGUACAAGAGGACGAAGGACCUGUCAACGGCGGGGGUAACUAUGACCCUCUUAAGGUAGCGUAGUACCUUGCCGCAUCAGUAGCGGCUUGCAUGAAUGGAUUAACCAGAGCUUCACUGUCCCAACGUUGGGCCCGGUGAACUGUACAUUCCAGUGCGGAGUCUGGAGACACCCAGGGGGAAGCGAAGACCCUAUGGAGCUUUACUGCAGGCUGUCGCUGAGACGUGGUCGCCGAUGUGCAGCAUAGGUAGGAGACAUUACACAGGUACCCGCGCUAGCGGGCCACCGAGUCAACAGUGAAAUACUACCCGUCGGUGACUGCGACUCUCACUCCGGGAGGAGGACACCGAUAGCCGGGCAGUUUGACUGGGGCGGUACGCGCUCGAAAAGAUAUCGAGCGCGCCCUAUGGCUAUCUCAGCCGGGACAGAGACCCGGCGAAGAGUGCAAGAGCAAAAGAUAGCUUGACAGUGUUCUUCCCAACGAGGAACGCUGACGCGAAAGCGUGGUCUAGCGAACCAAUUAGCCUGCUUGAUGCGGGCAAUUGAUGACAGAAAAGCUACCCUAGGGAUAACAGAGUCGUCACUCGCAAGAGCACAUAUCGACCGAGUGGCUUGCUACCUCGAUGUCGGUUCCCUCCAUCCUGCCCGUGCAGAAGCGGGCAAGGGUGAGGUUGUUCGCCUAUUAAAGGAGGUCGUGAGCUGGGUUUAGACCGUCGUGAGACAGGUCGGCUGCUAUCUACUGGGUGUGUAAUGGUGUCUGACAAGAACGACCGUAUAGUACGAGAGGAACUACGGUUGGUGGCCACUGGUGUACCGGUUGUUCGAGAGAGCACGUGCCGGGUAGCCACGCCACACGGGGUAAGAGCUGAACGCAUCUAAGCUCGAAACCCACUUGGAAAAGAGACACCGCAGAGGUCCCGCGUAUAAGACGCGGUCGAUAGACUCGGGGUGUGCGCGUCGAGGUAACGAGACGUUAAGCCCACGAGCACUAACAGACCAAAGCC
rnacentral:rRNA from 1 species